UCGGCGAUGUUCGGGUACUCCAUGUCCCGACUACCUCCCAGUUUGCUGACAUCUUCACGAAGGGGCUGCCCUCGUCGACCUUCUCGGAGUUUCGAUCCAGCCUCAACGUAGCCGGUGGCUAGUUGUGGCUGGGGGGUCUUAGCCCUUUUGUGCUCUACUUGUACUCUCAUCUUGUCCAGUCUUGAACACCGCUGCGUCGGUUGUUCAGACUGCAGGGGGGUGUUAGCUUUCUUGUUGUCCAGUCUUGAACACCGCUGCGCCGGUAGUUCAGACUGCGGGGGGUGUUGGAGUAUAUUGAGCUCAUGUGUAUAGAGGCCCAUGUAUAGGAUCUAUAUAUACCCACCCAUCUAGGGUUGGAGGAAUACAAUUAUUAUUCCCGUCAUUAUAAAUUUCCAUAAAAAUAUUUUAGUGCAACUGAACCAAUCAGUGAGGUUGUGUGAUUGUUACAUUGCACCAAAGAGGAUGCUCAUAAUGGCAACUAUCGUGCCACCUCCUGUUGCCUUGUUUUUGGUUACAGCAACUGCCCCAAUCCAAACCAUCAGUGCCCAGGAACAAAAGGUCACUGCUUGGAACAAUCCGAGUCCUAUUCCCUUUAUCAUUGCUUCCUUCUUUCUUAGAUUAAACUGAUUUUCCAUGCACUGAACAAAUGACUUCAUGGCCCAGCUCUCUCCGACAAAGGAGAAGACAGUCUUGAUAUGUGACAAGGUCUGUAAACAAAUGUAUACUUGGAUUAUGAACAUAACGAAGCAGGAGAUAUUCUGUACCCCAACAUUUCUAUCUAUUCCAGUAACUUAUCUUAAGGAUUAGAGGAAUGACCAGGAAGGAAAGCAUCGCAACUUGCCAGCAGCUGAUAAAUGCAAUUAUGGUGCCAGCAAAGAAGGUGGAGAAGCUUGCAACGAAAUGACCCAGCUGCAGAAAAGUGAACUUAGAUACAGUGGUCAAGUCAGUAUCAAAAGCCCCUACCUCUUGGUUGAGGACUGAUCUCAGAAAUGCUAGCCGCAUGCGUGCUAGCUGUCUCUCACUUGAGUAUAUCCAGCAGGAGAUCUCUGCAGUUAAUUCAUUGGAGAAAAAGGCUGCUGCUGUUUGCGACACGGAGGUGCACCGUGAGUACCAAAUCGGUUCAUUAUAUUUGAACUUUUCAGAGUACCAAAUCGGUUCAUUCUCCGAAUCCGGCACAAACGCCUCGAGUUUACAGCUUUUCAGCGCCCGGAGCUUGGAAGGUCAAUUGGAUGCUGGAAAGGAGACACUUAUUUGGCUGGACUGCUGGAAUGCUCCUGUUGGAUUCAUCUGCUAACCUGAUCAGCUUUGGAAUGCGGCUCUUGGACGUGGCAGCAGCAUAUGCUACUGUUUUUUUUUUUUUGGAGUGCAUCCAGCAGGUACGGAGAUUAAGUGUUGUCAUCUCAUAAUCCGAAUGGUCAUGUAACUAUCGUUCAUGGGAUAACCGAAGAAUAUGCGGAUGCCAUGAACACGCCAGGAAUGACCCGUUCAAAAAACGACCUGUUUAAAGAAUUUCAAAUAUCUGUGUAUGUACGUUUUUGUUUGUCCUCCAUUCAUCAUUGACGAUAUAUUUUGCACAUCUGUAUCAUUACUCCAAAUAUCCUGCUGAAUUAUAUGCUGGGCUUGACUCGCUCCCUGUAUGCCCGUGUUCGAUCAACUUGAUCGGCCGACUUGGAUCAUAA